AGUAAAAGUUUGGGGAAAAAAAUGACUGAGUCAUUCAUUGUGGGCAAUUUUCAGUCACUUUUGGUUGCAUUAUUUCUAACAGGAAGUCGGAGGAGUAUUGUUUGGUUUCCUGGUUUACACAUUCAAGUUCUUUUUCUUUCCCUUUCACUUUCAACUUAAUGGCUAUUUGGUGGGAAUGGGGACCUCGCCCCGCCACCAAUAGCAGAAUUUUUUUUUUGUUUUUUUUUAAACAUUUAUACUGAAUUGUAAUUUCGUAUAAAUGCUAUAGCAUGGUGGCAAAGGACUACUACUACUGUACUAUUGUUAAAAUGAAGCUCCUCAACUCACUGUAGCUUAAUAUGGAAGGGAAAAAAAAGAUUUAAAACAUGGUCAUAAAACCUACAUAUUUAGACAUGUUUGAGAGGAAUUUAUUGAAGGAGGGAAAGAGACGAAUAAAGGAUGGAGAGAGGAAGAAUGAAUUCAUCAAUGAAGGAAGAAAGAAAGGGGCUCGCCAGUGACUCCACCAGGUCAAAACAAAAACAAACACAGACUGGAAACCCUAUCACUGGUCUUGAAACCCUAACCCUUAUUUUAAACCUUAACCCUGACUUGGAAACACAAUUUCAAACCCUAAACCAGGCUCGGCUCAAAUUGCAAUCCUUGUCUUAAACUUAAACCCUUACCCUGUUUUGAAACCUCACUUUGAAACCUUAACCCUUAUUUCAAAAUCAACCAUGUUUUAAAACCAUAACCCAGGCUGGACUCUUCCAAUGAAACCCUUACGCUGAUCUUUAAACACAAAUUUUUAGCAUUAAUUUAUAGCAAGUACCACUUCCACUUCCGACAGCCUGCAUCUCCCAUUGCAUAGUAUCAGUUUUAUUUACUUUGUACAAAAGUCGCGAAGAAGAUGGACCUUCGAGUGUCUGGCUUGUCAUUCAUCAAGCAGUGGCGAGCGCGGUUGGGACAAAGGCGGCACUCAGAUGAGCGGCGGGCCAGCCCGGUCGACACGUGUGCAAACAGAACGCAGCUGCUCGGCCAUUGAGUGUCGUGGAGUGGAGCCUCUCGUCCUUUUCAGAAUGAGCUCAUUGACGACGACUACUGCUGCUGCUGACUCUUCAUCCUCUUCCAGUCACGCAGUCGGUGCACACUCCAGUAUAUUUGCCUAACGUAGGAGUAGCUGGCCAGUCUUGUGUUGCUCCGGUAGAAUUAAACACUCAUCAAACGCAUUAAAUUCAAAUGUAACUCAAUCGUAAAACACUCCACCUUUUCAUCCCGAGUGACAAGCGUACGGAGGUUAGCGCAGUAAGCUGAUGCAGCAGUCUACGUCUCCACUCAACAUCACAAACAGAUGGAGUCAAAUAGAACACCGGGAUCCAAAUCAGUCAUUUGACUCACAAAAAGUUGGUCAACGACAGAUAUGGCCAAGCCAACUGAUGAUGUAGAGACAAACAGGAAGUGUAAAACUACCAAAAACUACCUUCAAUUUAUCAAAACGGAGUCAGACUACGUUUAUAUGCAAUCAAUAUUCCGCUUAAGGUCAAAAUUCUGAUUUCUGAAACAUUCGGAAAAACCUGAGCAGAGAGAGUUACUCCCAUAUUUGAAGGAGAAGAUGGAGACUUUUGGCCAUCACAACAGAGACAAACCUACCAAAAUAAAAUUAGCCACCGCAUUAGCAUGGCUAAAACAAAGUGAGGAAGCAGAAUUCUGCGAAAAUAAAAGCAGCACCAGUCAUUCAAAUUUGUUCACAAAAAGUCGACCAGAUCAAUCAGAAAAUACAUUUCGUAACAACAUUAGCGUGUCAUAAUAAUGUCAAAAGGGGCAAAUCAAAGUUCCAUGAUUCACAAAGUUAUUCUGGCACCCCAAAGAAUCACCCCACUGUGGACUGCUGCCAUUGGCUCACUGUGCGAGUGGCAGCAGACAGAAGCAAUCGCACGCCGCUGUGCCACGAGUAACCCGACAGCGCGAGCCGGCCGGCCAUCGGAUUACACAGUUCGGAAUGAAGCUGGCCGGGCAAUGCGGAAGGGUCCUCCAGCGCGAAACCACGGCAACCUCCAAAGCAGAGUGGAGGCUCCUCUUUGCUCGUUUCCACACACAAAUGUGUGAAUUAGUUUAGGAAUGCACUGUAUUCAUUAUAAAGCUAUCGCUUCAUCAAUUUUGGUCAUAACACAACGCUGCUUUGUCUUCAUUCACAUCAAAAGCCUUCGUCUUGGAGUAACAAGACACGUUCAAUGAUCGGGUUGUGCGCCGUAAGAGAAGAUUAGCGUCGAACAAUCAACCAGGCACGACGUGGCAGUGAUUACCUUCAUUAGCAUUUGAUGCAGUCAACAUUUUUCUUUUAAUGUCGUCAGAACACAAUGCAAAUCGAGCUUCUUUUGUUUGGUUGAACCCUUUCAUGCACCCUGCAAUCUGAGAACAUGCUAAACUGUCCACUGUAGUAAGCACUGUCCCAGAAAGGGUUAAGCAAACGUAAUGCUAAUGAAUUCCACUUUUCCGCGGGAUGAUCACGUUUCAUGCAAAUGUCAUGUCGUUACAGGACAUUCCACCGUGACACCAAACUCUUUUGUCUUCAUUAAAAUCGAAUCGAUUGGCUCAUUCUGGGACUAAUGAGGUCAUACUCAUUACAUACAAAUAGAUAAGAAAAGUCAAUUCAACUUUUCCAAGGCAGGAUCAGGUUUCUUUCAAUUUACAUGUUGCUUUUCGUGAAUAUCAAUUACAUUUAUCUAAUUUAUUUUAGUUUGAAAGACAUCUGGCGAUUAAAAAAAAAAAAAAACAACGAAAACAAUAACCUGGAAAUGUCAGCAUUUUUACAUUUUAUGACGUGACAUUGAGAUAUAACGCAGCACAAUUUUGACCGAUUAGCAUUCGAUCCAUUGGUCAAUUUCGUUUGCGACGGCAAUGCAAAUGAAGUCACUCUUUGUUGUUUCGUGUCAUCCAGGCUUAACGUCGCACGUUUCUCCUUUAUUAAUAUCCAAUCCAU